AGUGAACGCUGGCGGCGUGCCUAACACAUGCAAGUCGAACGAGAACGGAUAUUAGCUUGCUAAUAUUGUCAGCUAAGUGGCGCACGGGUGAGUAAUAUAUAGUUAAUCUGCCUCAAAGAAGAGAAUAAUUGUUGGAAACGACUUGUAAAGCUCUAUAUGCCUUUAUGACAAAAGUCAGCAAGGGAAACAUUUAUGGCUUUGAGAUGAGACUGUACGGUAUCAGUUAGUUGGUGAGGUAAUGGCUCACCAAGACAAUGACGCCUAACUGGUUUGAGAGGAUGAUCAGUCACACUGGAACUGAGACACGGUCCAG
rnacentral:rRNA from 1 species